CCCUUAGAUGUUCUGGGCCGCACGCGCGCUACACUGAUGCAUUCAACGAGCCUAUCCUUGACCGACAGGUCCGGGUAAUCUUUGAAUCUGCAUCGUGACGGGGAUAGAUUAUUGCAAUUAUUAAUCUUCAACGAGGAAUGCCUAGUAGGCGCAAGUCAUCAGCUUGCGUCGAUUACGUCCCUGCCCUUUGUACACACCGCCCGUCGCUACUAUCGAUUGAGCGGUUCAGUGAGGGCCUCGGAUUGGUCUCGGUCUGGCGUGCAAGCGCCGGCACCGUUGGCCGAGAAGACGCUCGAACUCGAUCGCUUGGAGAAAGUAAAAGUCGUAACA
rnacentral:rRNA from 1 species